AAGAUACUAGUAAAAAUAUAUAACACUGCCUUGUCAAGCCAGAAUUGUGGGUUUAAACCCCGCGUAUUUUG
rnacentral:tRNA from 1 species